UAGGAAGGCAGCAGUGGGGAAUAUUGCACAAUGGGCGAAAGCCUGAUGCAGCUAUGCCGCGUGUAUGAAGAAGGCCUUAGGGUUGUAAAGUACUUUCAUCGGGGAGGAAAAACAAAACUAAUAAUUUUAUUUCUUGACGUUACCCGAAAAAGAAGCACCGGCUAACUCCGUGCCAGCAGCCGCGGUAAUACGGAGGGUGCUAGCGUUAAUCAGAAUUACUGGGCGUAAAGAGCACGUAGGUGGUUUUUUUAAGUCAGAUGUGAAAUCCCUGGGCUUAACCUAGGAACUGCAUUUUGAAACUGAAAUACUAGAGUAUCGUAGAGGGAGGUAGAAUUCUAGGUGUAGCGGUGAAAUGCGUAGAUAUCUGGAGGAAUACCUGUGGCGAAAGCGGCCUCCUAAACGAAUACUGACACUGAGGUGCGAAAGCGUGGGGAGCAAACAGGGAUUAGAUACC
rnacentral:rRNA from 1 species